GAUGAACGCUGGCGGCGUGCCUAAUACAUGCAAGUCGAGCGAACAGACGAGGAGCUUGCUCCUUCGACGUUAGCGGCGGACGGGUGAGUAACACGUAGGUAACCUACCUAUAAGACUGGGAUAACUUCGGGAAACCGGAGCUAAUACCGGAUAAUAUUUCGAACCGCAUGGUUCGAUAGUGAAAGAUGGCUUUGCUAUCACUUAUAGAUGGACCUGCGCCGUAUUAGCUAGUUGGUAAGGUAACGGCUUACCAAGGCAACGAUACGUAGCCGACCUGAGAGGGUGAUCGGCCACACUGGAACUGAGACACGGUCCAGACUCCUACGGGAGGCAGCAGUAGGGAAUCUUCCGCAAUGGGCGAAAGCCUGACGGAGCAACGCCGCGUGAGUGAUGAAGGUCUUCGGAUCGUAAAACUCUGUUAUUAGGGAAGAACAAACGUGUAAGUAACUGUGCACGCCUUGACGGUACCUAAUCAGAAAGCCACGGCUAACUACGUG
rnacentral:rRNA from 1 species